rnacentral:rRNA from 1 species
UAAGGUAGCGAAAUUCCUUGUCAGUUAAAUACUGACCUGCAUGAAUGGCGUAACGAGAUGGGAGCUGUCUCAAAGAGGGAUCCAGUGAAAUUUGUAGUGGAGGUGAAAAUUCCUCCUACCCGCGGAAAGACGGAAAGACCCCGUGCACCUUUACUACAGCUUGACACUGUAGCUUGGAUAUUCAUGUGCAGGAUAGGUGGGAGGCUAUGAUGACUAGACGCAAGUAGAGUCGGAGCCAUCCUUGAGAUACCACCCUUGAAUAUUUGAGUUACUAACUGCGAUGAGUUAUCCUCAUUCAGGACAAUGUCUGGUGGGUAGUUUGACUGGGGCGGUCGCCUCCUAAAUAGUAACGGAGGCUUACAAAAGGUUAGUUCAAAGCGGAUGGAAAUCGCUUGUUGAGUAUAAUGGUCA